GACGAACGCUGGCGGCGUGCCUAAUACAUGCGAGUCGAACGAGAGCGACCGGUGCUUGCACUGGUCAAUCUAGUGGCGAACGGGUGAGUAACACGUGGGUAACCUGCCCAUCAGAGGGGGAUAACAUCCGGAAACGGAUGCUAAAACCGCAUAGGUCUUCGAACCGCAUGGUUUGAAGAGGAAAAGAGGCGCAAGCUUCUGCUGGUGGAUGGACCCGCGGUGCAUUAGCUAGUUGGUGAGGUAACGGCUCACCAAGGCCGUGAUGCAUAGCCGACCUGAGAGGGUGAUCGGCCACAUUGGGACUGAGACACGGCCCAAACUCCUACGGGAGGCAGCAGUAGGGAAUCUUCCGCAAUGGACGCAAGUCUGACGGAGCAACGCCGCGUGAGUGAAGAAGGUUUUCGGAUCGUAAAACUCUGUUGUUAGAGAAGAACAAGUGCUAGAGUAACUGUUAGCGCCUUGACGGUAUCUAACCAGAAAGCCACGGCUAACUACGUG
rnacentral:rRNA from 1 species